rnacentral:rRNA from 1 species
CAGCCGCCGCGGUAAAACGUAGGCGGCAAGCGUUGUCCGGAAUUAUUGGGCGUAAAGGGCUCGCAGGCGGUUUCUUAAGUCUGAUGUGAAAGCCCCCGGCUCAACCGGGGAGGGUCAUUGGAAACUGGGAAACUUGAGUGCAGAAGAGGAGAGUGGAAUUCCACGUGUAGCGGUGAAAUGCGUAGAGAUGUGGAGGAACACCAGUGGCGAAGGCGACUCUCUGGUCUGUAACUGACGCUGAGGAGCGAAAGCGUGGGGAGCGAACAGGAUUAGAUACCCCUGUAGUCCCUGUCUCUUAUAA